AUGAGUGGGUUGACUUUUCUUGACGUGUAUUUUAUACAACGAGCAACUACCUUGCGCCGUCUUCCAGCCACCAACAACCCCAUGACCCUGCAUCAGGUCAAAAAAAUAUUCAAUAAUUAUUUCUUAUGCAGGGUCAUUGAAUUGUUGGCUUCAGACAUGCUGUACUGUUGGGCUUCAAGCGUACUUCGGACAAAUUUGAUUUUGGGAAGACAAAGGUCUGACAAGGAUGAGAAUGGGAUACCAGAUUACACCGACGGAGGCUCGGACAUGGAUCUGCUCCUGCUCUUAGCGGGAAUACUGGAUGUUCUUGAAGCUUUGCCAUACACACGUGCUACUUUUGGCACUUGCGUGGGCUCCUGUUUGUGUCAAUGCAAUUUGCAUCUGUCAGCAGAUUAUGGCGACCUUGGUUAUUGGCCUACAGGGUGCUCCACCGAUGGUGAAAAUACCUCACAGGAUGAUGUUGGAUAUUAUUCUACAAACUUCGGGCCUACCGGUGGCUGA
rnacentral:rRNA from 1 species